GAUGAACGCUGGCGGCGUGCCUAAUACAUGCAAGUCGAGCGAACAGACGAGGAGCUUGCUCCUUUGACGUUAGCGGCGGACGGGUGAGUAACACGUAGGUAACCUACCUAUAAGACUGGGAUAACUUCGGGAAACCGGAGCUAAUACCGGAUAAUAUUUCGAACCGCAUGGUUCGAUAGUGAAAGAUGGCUUUGCUAUCACUUAUAGAUGGACCUGCGCCGUAUUAGCUAGUUGGUAAGGUAACGGCUUACCAAGGCAACGAUACGUAGCCGACCUGAGAGGGUGGGGGGGCACACUGGAACGGAGACCCGGUAAGGACCACAAAGGGAGGGGGCGGAGGGGAGUGGUCCGAAAUGGGCUGGAGGCUGACGAGACACGGCGACGUGGGGGAAGAAGGGCUUGGGAUCGUGAAAUACUCUUAUUUGGUAAGAAAAAAAGUGAAAGUAACUGUGCAGGUGUUGAGGGUACCUAAACAAGAAGCGACGGCUAACUACGUG
rnacentral:rRNA from 1 species